AUGAACGCUAGCGGCAGGCUUAACACAUGCAAGUCGAGGGGUAGCAGGGAGCUUGCUCCGCUGACGACCGGCGAACGGGUGCGUAACGCGUAUAGAAUCUACCUCUUACUAAGGGAUAGCCCAGAGAAAUUUGGAUUAAUAUCUUAUAGUAUGUUAACUUGGCAUCAAGAUAACAUUAAAGGUUACGGUAAGAGAUGACUAUGCGUCCUAUUAGCUAGAUGGUGUGGUAACGGCACACCAUGGCAACGAUAGGUAGGGGCCCUGAGAGGGGGAUCCCCCACACUGGUACUGAGACACGGACCAGACUCCUACGGGAGGCAGCAGUGAGGAAUAUUGGACAAUGGAGGCAACUCUGAUCCAGCCAUGCCGCGUGCAGGAAGACUGCCCUAUGGGUUGUAAACUGCUUUUAUACAGGAAGAAACACUCUCACGUGUGAGAGCUUGACGGUACUGUAAGAAUAAGGAUCGGCUAACUCCGUGCCAGCAGCCGCGGUAAUACGGAGGAUCCAAGCGUUAUCCGGAAUCAUUGGGUUUAAAGGGUCCGUAGGUGGAUAAUUAAGUCAGAGGUGAAAUCCUGCAGCUCAACUGUAGAAUUGCCUUUGAUACUGGUUGUCUUGAGUUAUUAUGAAGUAGUUAGAAUAUGUAGUGUAGCGGUGAAAUGCAUAGAUAUUACAUAGAAUACCAAUUGCGAAGGCAGAUUACUAAUAAUAUACUGACACUGAUGGACGAAAGCGUGGGGAGCGAACAGGAUUAGAUACCCUGGUAGUCCACGCCGUAAACGAUGGUCACUAGCUGUUCGAACUUCGGUUUGAGUGGCUAAGCGAAAGUGAUA
rnacentral:rRNA from 1 species